CAUUCUGCUGGAGGGGGGCUUGAAGCCCUUCUAACUUUACUUGUAGAAGUUCCCUUUGUUUUAUGGAGUGUCUGUUGGAAAGUUUUAGGAGGGAGUGGGAUGCGGCAGUAACAGCUGGAAGGAUGGGGAAAACAGCAAACAAGUUUCCAGGCAACCCUCUUGCAGUGCUCCUCCUGUCUGAAAUAAUGUUCCUCGCCCCCUAGCUCUCCUGCAGGUGCUGUUGCUGGAGGUCAUUGGCAUGUGCAGGGGUUUAGGGAGGUAAAUGAAUUAGUCCUGACCUCCUUCUUCUCUCCCGCUCCCUUUUUGUUUUUAAACAGGGAAAGGCUUUGUCUGAGGGCUGAAUUUAGGUCAAAUUUGGAACUGGAACUCUGAAAACAACCCUCUUCCCCCAAAAAUGGUGCUGCAAAUUGGUCUUUCAGCAUUGUAUUCAGGCUGUGUGCUGUUCACUAACCUUCUCAUGCAUCCUGCUGUGCAUCCUGAUCAAAGCCCUGCUUAGGUGCUAAUCCUGCACUCCUUGUUCCCACCAGCAUCCAGCUGGGGAGCUGCUGAUGCUGGGAGAUGUGGCUCCACUUUCCUCGCUUCUGGUCAUUCCCUCUGCUGGCUCUGCUUCUGUAUCUGCUGCUUAUAGGAAGGACUCAUCACAGCCUGAUGUGUCACAGCACGGCUUGGAGACGAGGUGUGCUGCUCUGUUGGAGCUUGAGGUCUAUCUGACCAGGUCGAGGAAGACCGAGGAGUACAGAUGGGCUUGCAGUGUUUGAAAGCUGCACAGACCUCCUUGCAUUUAAAAUUUAAAUAAUUAAAUAAAAUUUAAAUUAAAUUCUCCUUGGGUGAGCAGCAAGAAGGGGAGCCCUCAAUCUGGUGCCAGCACAACAGCAAAGAGCAGGAGAAGAAACUGAGG